AAUUGUUAGUCCAAGUACACAGUUAUCAUCCAUUGAUUUUCAUUUUUUACAAAAAGAUUUCCUAGUGUGGACCAUGUAUUACUUUAAAAUUUAUUUAUUUAUAUUUUUUAUGCAUAAAAAUUUAGGGCAAGAAAUAUAGAAGAUAAAGAAAAAUAUAAACAAUUACAACUGUACAGUAGAAAUGAUCGGCAAAACAAGAUAAACAGAAGACAACAAGGCCUAAAUGGUGCAGAGACUUCUUGGUUUUCAUGAUCAUCAACAGAUCAAUACAGAAGAGGAAACUUAAGGUUAAUACUUUCUCUACAUUGUGUGCUAAUUGGAUUAAUGUGAAAUGAAAUGUGUGCUUACCUGGAAAAAGAAAAUAGGAAAUUUCUACAAAAUGGCUGUAAACAAAAUGGAGUACAAUCAUAGAUGCACAAGAACACAAUUGUGUAAUUGCAACAACCUACACUGAAGGAUUAGGGAGAAAUGUAGAAAAAAUAGUAUUUUUUUGUCGAAAUAAACACCUGCUUUAUCCAUUCAUGUACAUAGCUCUGUCAUAUCAACUAUAUAGAGGAAGAUGUUUGAAGAACAAAUUGCAAAAAUGUAUUCUCUACCAAUUGAAGGAAGAUGUCUGGUGGAUGGAAUUAUUUAUGCACUGAACUGUUUUGUAGGGGAUUGAAUAAUUGUACGCAGCAGAAAAGUUAAAUUAACAUGAAAAGUGGUUAUUUUAUUUAAUCAGCAAAUAUGAGCACAAUAUUAAUAACAUCACAAAUAGUAUGAUAUUCAUAGCGUUUUGCUUAUAAUUGUAUUGUCUCAAACAGCUAGCCUAUUGUUUUUGUAUGUCAUGUUACUCAUCAGUGAACAUUUUAUUAAAGUUUUAAUUAUC